rnacentral:misc_RNA from 1 species
UUUGUGAAAAUGCAUCUGAUAUGUAUAUAAAAUAUAGCUCUGUGCCUAUCAAACAUAUUUAGAUAUACAAAUAUUCAUAUAUCCUCUCUAUAAAGAUCAAAAAAAUAUUUGCAGAUCAAAACUUCUAGCUAUCUUUACACAUGUACAAUGAACUAAAACUAAAUAAAUAUUCAAAAGAAGCAUAUUGGCCUGACCUCCACUAGAUUCUAUAGUUGACAAAGUGGAAAAGAGGACAACGCUAAAGGAGAGACUGCUAGUGGUGGAAUCAACAAAAAGAAUCUAGCAUUCUCAUCAACCAAAUCAGGACCACGCCCUCUAAAAUUGUGAUGUUGAUCUGAAUCCGAUUGUCAUAGUGCUGGCUUUUCUUGUUGUCUGGAAGUGACCUAAGAAUCAGUAAGUGGAAAUUUUCGUAGGAUAGGCAGACCUUGUCCUUAGGCUUGGCUCAACUUGCUUGAGGCUUGGCUCAACUUGCUUGAGGCAAGGCUCAUCCUGCCAAAUCGCACGCUUGGGCGAGGCUGAAAUGACCUUAACAGUUGUCGGCUUGCCGUAGAGUAUGAUGAUUUACUGUCGACGGCUUAGCUCUUGCUCCCUUUUCCAUAGAUCUUCUAGGGGAAUAUAUCUUUCUAAAACUUGAAUAUUUCCUUCCAAAGCUUCAACUAUCUGUUUUGCACAUAAACGAAUGAAAAAGAUUGUGCUUUGUCAGAAUAUUAAGUAAAACUAUACACUAAGAAUACGUUUGAUACGGCAUAUAUAUGUUCACCCCUUUGCUCUUUUGGUAAACAUGGGAAGGUGGUGAUUGGUGUCACCCCUCCCCUCCAAGGAUAAUUAUAAGCGGAAAUAAGGGAUGAUUUUGUUUUUCAAAAAAAGUUAUGUAAUUAAUUAUACGAAUUUAUUAUUAUUAUUAUAAAAAUUGCCAAACUUUAUCCUAAAAUAAAAAUUAAACUCUAUAUAAAAUUACUUACCUCAUUCAUUUGUGGUCGAUCAUCUGGAUUAUCAUUUAAACAAGCUAAAGCACAAGCUAUCACUUGCGUCAUUUCAUUGUUGUCAUAGCCCUGCAAUCUUUUAUCAAUAAAAUCAUAGUUGCCAUUGGACAAACCUUUUCGGAGCCGAGGUACAGCCCAUUGAACUAUGUUAGAGUUGCCAUUGAAACUCAUAUCAUCAUGUUGUUUCCCUGUAAUUUCCUCCAAAACGAAUACACCAAAAGAAUAAGCAUAGGUCUUCUCAUUGAAUCUCCUCCUAUGGAAAUAUUCAGGAGGCAUAUAACCAGUAGAGACACGAGGAGCAGAAUUUGAGAGAAAAUUGGCACGUCCAUACUCUGCAAACUGGAUAAAAAUGACUCAAGUAAAUUUAUUGCAUUGUAUAGUUUAACACCAAAUAAAAAAAAGUCAGUUUACAUAAAAAUAGUUUAAUAGUCCAAUCCAAAUUUAACGAUACAUUCAACAUCUUCUAAUGUUAACAAUACUUCCUGGCUCCACUUCCAUGAUCAAUUUUCUCCGUUUGUUAUUAUUCUGUUGCAA